rnacentral:rRNA from 1 species
UCGGGAAUUUUGGGCAAUGGGCGAAAGCCUGACCCAGCAACGCCGCGUGAGGGAUGAAGGCCUUCGGGUCGUAAACCUCUGUCGGGAGGGAAGAACGUUCCCGGGGUGAACAAUCCCGGGGGCUGACGGUACCUCUAGAGUAAGCGCCGGCUAACUCCGUGCCAGCAGCCGCGGUAAUACGGAGGGCGCAAGCGUUGUUCGGAAUCAUUGGGCGUAAAGCGCGUGUAGGCGGCUUGGCAAGUCGAGUGUGAAAGCCCGGGGCUCAACCCCGGAAGGUCGCUCGAAACUGCCUCGCUCGAGUCCCGGAGAGGAAGGCGGAAUUCCCGGUGUAGAGGUGAAAUUCGUAGAUAUCGGGAGGAACACCAGCGGCGAAGGCGGCCUUCUGGACGGUGACUGACGCUGAGACGCGAAAGCGUGGGGAGCAAACAGGAUUAGAUACCCUGGUAGUCCACGCCGUAAACGUUGGGUGCUAGGUGUCGCGGGUAUUGACCCCUGCGGUGCCGCCGCUAACGCAUUAAGCA